ACGGAGAAGGGGCCGUUCGGGUCUUUCAGGCAACGGCGCGGUCGCCCCCGGGAGCAGCACAAUGGGCGGGGGCGCCUCGCGCGGGCCAACGGCUGCGGGGCCCCCUCCACACCCCCCACACCCCCCCCCGCGCUCCUGAGGGGCCGCCGCGGCCUCGGCCCGGGCCCGGUGCUGAGAGGGGGAGAGACCCCGGGCCGGGGAGAGCCCGGGCCGGGGAAGGACGUUGGGUGCAGCCCGGUGCCGCCGCCCCCCGUGGAAAGCACCCGGGGUGGCGAAGGGUGGAGGUGCGGCCUUGUGGUAUCUGGAGGCCGGCCCGGUGCCCUCCUCGGGAAACAACCGGCCCGCGGGCACGGCUGUCUUCGUGUGUGCUUUAAAAACGGCUUUAGGAUGCCGAGCAGCUUGUUAGUUACAGCACACACUUGAAGAUGACUCUGAGCAACCUGAUCUGACUUUGAAGAUGGUUCUAAAUUCAGAGCGUGGUCUAGGGGACCUCAGCGCUCCUGUCCAGCCUGAAUCACUGUGUGCUUCUGGAACAUGCGCUUCAGCGAACUCUUCGUAACAGCUGGCAUCCUUUGAAGCCAUUUGGACUGCUCAGAAGGAGCCAAGCUUGGGUCCUGUGGUUGCUGUGGCUGUGUUCACGCUGAACAAGAUGCUGCCGGAUGGACUUCUGAUACUAACCAGGCAGAUGAAAUGUCAAAGCUUUCAUCAGCAGUAUGUCCACUCACCACCCUUUUCCCCAAAGCAGAAUUUAUUCCAUUAUCAACCAGACACACGGGGAAGAACAAGGUAACUAGCUCUGUCUCUCUUCACUUGCCUGUGCGUCAAGUAUCCUUCCGGGCUAUUAUCAGAAGUUCUAAAAUAGGUAAUGCUGCCCAAGCAUUUGAAGCAGGGAUACCGAACGUGUAUGCAAAUGUCAGCAGCUGGAAACAAUCUGACACGAGCACGAGCCGACGAACACAUGCGCUGGUUUACCUUGGAGAAAACAUCCACCUACACGCGCAGCACUCCUUGUCAGUCACCAACAGAGCUGGGGCUGCUGCAGCAGCCAGCCCCGUUCUGCAGGGCUCUGCG